ACUUUUAACAACGGAUCUCUUGGCUCUCGCAUCGAUGAAGAACGCAGCGAAAUGCGAUAAGUAAUGUGAAUUGCAGAAUUCAGUGAAUCAUCGAAUCUUUGAACGCACCUUGCGCUCCUUGGUAUUCCGAGGAGCAUGCCUGUUUGAGUGUCAUUA
rnacentral:rRNA from 1 species